rnacentral:tRNA from 1 species
GACUGGCUGGCUCAGUCAGUAAGAGUAUGAGACUCUUGAUCUUGAAGUUGUGAGUUCAAGCCCCAUGUUGGGUA